rnacentral:ncRNA from 12 species
AUUGUAGUAUUGACCAGCAAUCAGUACGCAUAGCCGCCAUAGGCGUUCCAGGAUGUAGCCGGAGUACAGGAUGACCAACCCGUAAGCCUGGAUGUAAGACCCCACG